AUUGAACGCUGGCGGCAGGCCUAACACAUGCAAGUCGAACGGUAACAGGAAACAGCUUGCUGUUUCGCUGACGAGUGGCGGACGGGUGUGUAAUGUCUGGGAAACUGCCUGAUGGAGGGGGAUAACUACUGGAAACGGUAGCUAAUACCGCAUAACGUCGCAAGCCCAAAGAGGGGGACCUUCGGGCCUCUUGCCAUCGGAUGUGCCCAGAUGGGAUUAGCUAGUAGGUGGGGUAACGGCUCACCUAGGCGACGAUCCCUAGCUGGUCUGAGAGGGUGACCAGCCACACUGGAACUGAGACACGGUCCAGACUCCUACGGGAGGCAGCAGUGGGGAAUAUUGCACAAUGGGCGCAAGCCUGAUGCAGCCAUGCCGCGUGUAUGAAGAAGGCCUUCGGGUUGUAAAGUACUUUCAGCGGGGAUGAAGGGAGUAAAGUUAAUACCUUUGCUCAUUGACGGUACCCGCAGAAGAAGCACCGGCUAACUCCGUG
rnacentral:rRNA from 1 species